rnacentral:rRNA from 1 species
UACGAGGGGGGCAAGCGUUUGUUCGGAAUUAUUGGGCGUAAAGGGUGCGUAGGCGGUUUGGUAAGUCUGAUGUGAAAUCUAUGGGCUCAACUCAUAGUCUGCAUCGGAAACUGCCGGGCUUGAGUGUGGGAGAGGUGAGUGGAAUUCCUGGUGUAGCGGUGAAAUGCGUAGAUAUCAGGAGGAACACCUGUGGCGAAAAGCGGCUCACUGGACCAUAACUGACGCUGAUGCACGAAAGCUAGGGGAGCAAACAGG